rnacentral:rRNA from 1 species
AAAACUCAUCAACCCAUGUGAACAUACCUAAAACGUUUGCUUCGAGCGGGAACAGUACGGGCCCCGUAACACGGGCCGCCCCCGCCAGAGGACCCCCUAACUCUGUUUCUAUUAUGUUUCUUCUGAGUAAAACAAGCAAAUAAAUUAAAACUUUCAACAACGGAUCUCUUGGCUCUGGCAUCGAUGAAGAACGCAGCGAAAUGCGAUAAGUAAUGUGAAUUGCAGAAUUCAGUGAAUCAUCGAAUCUUUGAACGCACAUUGCGCCCGCCAGUAUUCUGGCGGGCAUGCCUGUUCGAGCGUCAUUACAACCCUCAGGCCCCCGGGCCUGGCGUUUGGGGAUCGGCGAGGCGCCCCCUGCGGGCACACGCCGUCCCCCAAAUACAGUGGCGGUCCCGCCGCAGCUUCCAUUGCGUAGUAGCUAACACCUCGCAACUGGAGAGCGGCGCGGCCAUGCCGUAAAACACCCAACUUCUGAAUGUUGACCUCGAAUCAGGUAGGAAUACCCGCUGAACUUAAGCAUA